CCCAGGUUCUAUUUUAGCUGAGAGAGGGAGAGAGAGAGGGAGAGAGAGAGAGAGAGAGAAGGAGAGGGGGAGAGCAUGUCUUUUGGAAGGAUGAAGAGAACAGUGGGUGGCAGCUGAUGAGCUGAAACUGUGGGAUUGAUGGUGUUGUGGUGGAGAUCAAUAUAAAGAGGAGAAGGAGAAGGCAGAAAGGUGGAUGGAGUGGUGGAACAAGCUCCUCUCUCCUGUCCGAAGAGCUUGGCUCGCUCUUUCUCUCGCCUCAAGCCUCGCCAUCACCGUGAUGGACUUUUGAAGCUUCACCAUGACAUUCAGACAUGUGAGUACGAGGACGUGCAGGUCAUGUGGGAAAUGCUACAAAGAUCGGAGCUGGAGCAGAUUGCAAAUAAGUCCAAAGGCAAGCAACGCCCUUUCUGGAGAGUCUUUGUAUGGUCUAGCCACAGCUCAUUGGUAACAUUAUCUGCAGAUCAUGCUUAACAGGCACGAAACUUCAUCUAUCACAAAGUUUCGGCAUGGCAGCAUCACCAUUUGACAGAGGACAGAGAAUUGAGACAUGCGUACUCUGUAUCUAUAGAUUAGUUUUGUAAAUGUAUGUGAAAGAGAGAAAGUUCUGUAGAUAUGUCGCAUUGUAAUAACUCCACAUUCAACUUGAUCGACAUCGACACACAAUGGGAAGUGGCUUGUUACAAACUCCCUUCUUUUAGUGCCAUGUACUGAAAAUAACAGAACAGAAGCAACAGCAAGGGCGUGCAGACAACUAGCUUACCAUCA